GAUGAAGAACGUAGCGAAAUGCGAUACUUGGUGUGAAUUGCAGAAUCCCGUGAACCAUCGAGUCUUUGAACGCAAGUUGCGCCCGAAGCCAUUAGGCCGAGGGCACGCCUGCCUGGGCGUCACACGUCGUUGCCCCCCCAUCUACUCCUUCGGGAUGGCGGGGGGCGGAUGAUGGCCUCCCGUGCGCCUCGUCGCGCGGUUGGCAUAAAUGCCAAGUCCUCGGCGACGCACGCCACGACAAUCGGUGGUUGCGAAACCUCGGUUGCCCGUCGUGUGCGGUCGUCGCGCAUCGAGGGCUCGAAAAAAUUGCCGGGCUUCGGCUCGACUUUCAACGCGACCCCAGGUCAGGCGGGGUUACCCGCUGAAUUUAAGCAUAUCAAUAAGCGGAGGA
rnacentral:misc_RNA from 1 species